CCUACGGGAGGCAGCAGUGAGGAAUAUUGGUCAAUGGGCGGAAGCCUGAACCAGCCAAGUCGCGUGAGGGAAUAAGGCCCUACGGGUCGUAAACCUCUUUUGCCGGGGAGCAAGGGCGGGGACGUGUCCCGUCCCGGAGAGUACCCGGAGAAAAAGCAUCGGCUAACUCCGUGCCAGCAGCCGCGGUAAUACGGAGGAUGCGAGCGUUAUCCGGAUUUAUUGGGUUUAAAGGGUGCGUAGGCGGGCUUUUAAGUCAGCGGUAAAAAUUCGGGGCUCAACCCCGGCCGGCCGUUGAAACUGGGGGCCUUGAGUGGGCGAGAAGAAGGCGGAAUGCGUGGUGUAGCGGUGAAAUGCAUAGAGAUCACGCAGAACCCCGAUUGCGAAGGCAGCCUUCCGGCGCCCUACUGACGCUGAGGCACGAAAGUGCGGGGAUCGAACAGGAUUAGAUACCCCUGUAGUC
rnacentral:rRNA from 1 species